GUUGGGCGUGGUGGUGCGCGCCUGUAAUCCCAGCUACUCGGGAGGCUGAGGCAGGAGAAUCAUUUGAACCCAGGAGCUGGAGGUUGCAGUGAGCCGAGAUCGCGCCACUGCACUCCAGCCUGGGCGACAGAGCGAGACUCUGCCUCAA
rfam:Homo sapiens chromosome 7, GRCh38 reference primary assembly.